CGUCCGGAACAUUUCAGGAAUCUGUCUCAGGACAAGAUAAUCCUGGGACAGCUGCCCUCUAAUUUUGAGUGCAGGGCAGGAGGAUCCGGGUGUUUCAGUCAGAGCUGAGAGAUUGGCUGAAAUUAAAAGUUGCCAGAAAAAAAAAAAAAAAACUAAAAAUGCUUUUUGCAACUGCAGGACUUAACGGUUUCUGCGGCACCGUUUUAUCGAGGGAUGUGGAGGAGGUCAGGACCCGAUCCCGAGGCGCAGAGUGAAAGGACAGUCAGUUAAUGAUUCACCCUGGCAGCAUCAUCCACUGUUGCCGUAGCAACAGCACCUGCAUUCAGAAACCUCCUCAAAGCUGCAGCCUGCAUUAUGAAAUACCCCUCACGCUGACGGAAGCCGAGGAGUGGGAAUCCUGGAGGUGGAUAGUUAUCCUGAAAAUAUAUUGUGGGAAAUAAGCUGCUGUCAAAGCGAAAUCACAGCCACAAAGAGCCGGAGCAGAUGGCCGGAGCCUUCAGGCUGAGAUGUGCGUCAUUACCCUCAGGUGGGCAACGGAGUGGAAACCGCAGAUCUUCCCGUUACCGAUGCCGUCUCUCGUGGUCGGUGUUUGACUUGGUAGAAAAUGAGAGUUUUUGUGUAUGUGUGUGUGUGUGUCCACUGCACAAGUAAUUGAACAUAUGAACCGACAUAUGCAGGAUUAGACUCGUAUUCGGACUAGGUGGCUAAUUGUUUUCACGUUUUGUCAUGUCACAGCAAUAAAUCUGAUUUGGAAGACAUACUUGUGAAGUAGAAAGAAAAGGAUGAAAUUUCUAUUAUUUUCAAAUAAAAAUUUUAAAAAUUUAAAGAAUAGACGUAUCUUUUUGUCUCAUAGUGGGGAACUCCAAGUGUCACAGCAAGUUAAGCAUGAAUACUCACACAAUAAAGUAAAACAAUACAAAAAUAAGAACAGCACUUUGUCCAGUAAGGUCAAAGUGCAUACAGAACAACAACAUACAAGAAGUAGAAAAGGCUGUGAAAUACAGCAGGGACGUGAUGGAAACAUGCCUGCAGUGGUUCAGUCAGGACUUUGUAAAAAUAUGUUUUGUUGCCGUUACUUCUGCAGGUCCUCUUGGUUUUGUCUCCAUUUUCUCACUUAUGAGGAUCCCGUUUUUAGCGCGGCACGGCCCAGCCUCAUGCAGAAAUGUCAAGCCGUGAUGCAACAUUUCCGUCUUUCAAAACGACAAAUUUAAUCUUUUUGUUUGCUUCCACUUC